AUUGAACGCUGGCGGAAUGCUUUACACAUGCAAGUCGAGCGGCAGCGCGGUCUUCGGACUGGCGGCGAGCGGCGAACGGGUGAGUAAUACAUCGGAACAUGCCCAGUCGUGGGGGAUAACACUUCGAAAGAAGUGCUAAUACCGCAUACGUCCUGAGAGAGAAAGCGGGGGAUCGCAAGACCUCGCGCGAUUGGAGUGGCCGAUGUCAGAUUAGCUAGUUGGUGGGGUAAAGGCCUACCAAGGCAACGAUCUGUAGCUGGUCUGAGAGGAUGAUCAGCCACACUGGGACUGAGACACGGCCCAGACUCCUACGGGAGGCAGCAGUGGGGAAUCUUGGACAAUGGGGGCAACCCUGAUCCAGCCAUUCCGCGUGAGUGAAGAAGGCCUUCGGGUUGUAAAGCUCUUUCGGCAGGAACGAAACGGUGAGCUCUAACAUAGCUCGCUAAUGACGGCACCUGAAGAAGAAGCACCGGCUAACUACGUGCCAGCCGCCGCCGUAAGAC
rnacentral:rRNA from 1 species